UGUUGGUGGAGCAGCUCCGACAGGCUCCACCUGGGAAGCUGCGUGUCAGUUAGUGCGCAGCAGUGAUGCGGUUUCUCCUGCAGCAGCACCGACCUGCAGGAUGCGCACGCAGCAGAGACCCUGCAGCAGCAGCAGCAGCAGGAACACGACCGGGAAGACGAAGACCAACUUCAAGACGUUGCAAACACAGAAGACGAAAGUCAAACCCCAAACCAGAGGCAGCGCGCAGAGACGAGGCCGCACGGAGUUCCACCUGAGAGACACACGGAAGAUGUGUUACAUACCUGGAAGCAUUGUGUUCAAGCAGCGUGUGUGUUGUCUUUAAACCUGAGGUAGGACACGGGAUGCACCACGGCCAGGUAUCUCUCCACACACACACACGCCUGGAACAGAGGCUGCCCUGCGGACACACAGGAGGAGAUCGGAUGUCUUUCAGCCAACGUACCACGAAGUUGGCGGCCUCCACGGUAAAGAAGAUCCGGACCCCGUACGGAGACGAGGGGCACGGGUUCCACAGAUUCUCCUCAGAGGCGUUCAGAGAGGACGAGUUCAGAGAGGACGAGUUCAUCAUCUCCGGAGACUGAAAUGUUAUAUUUUCAGCAGGUUUUACAGCGUUUGAGCUUUAAUUGUCACACAGAAGCUUUAUUUACACUGACAUGUGUGUAGAUGCUCCAAUCCUGCACCUUUACAAAUCGUGUUAAAGCUUAUAGUUAGGGCCGGCUCAGGCUUGCCUGGGACCAGCCCCUCGUUAUGCUGCUCUAGGCUCAGACUGCCGGGGGACACCUCCCUCUCUCUAUCUGUUUGCUUCCAUGUCCCUUAAAUGAUCUUACUAACAAAGCUUAUUUCAACAUCCUCCUGGAUCCAUCUUUUUCAUAUUUCAUUGCAUCAUGUUGUAUUUUUACUUUGUUGUUUAUUCUGUACACACAACAUCUAUUGCACGUCUGUCCGUCCGGGGAGAGGGUCCUCCUGUUUCCUCUGUUUACUGUUUACCUUGUGUUUAUUUUUUUAAAUGAUUACAAACCAUUCGUCUGAAUCAAACCCACUUAAAGAGACAGAAAUUGAGCACGUGGCUCCAUCUAGUGACACAACCAGGAGCUCUACGGGAACAAGUUCAUUCAUUUUUAAUUUUUGUCUUUUCUGUCCUUUGCUUACAUUUCAAACUCUUCACAAAAACUUGCAUUCAGAUUUUUCUUCCAUUUUAAACUCUGGUGGUUUGUUUUGUGAUAUUUAAAAAGACGGUGAGAGUUUCAGUUUGAGAGCGAGGCUGUGGCUAUUUCCUGGGAGCAGAACAAAGCAGUGCAGAUCAGGACAUCAGGAGAAAAGAGUUCAUUGAAGUUCAUUUGACUUUAAUGGAACAUAAUCAUUAUUAAAUGCAGUGGUGGGCCGUCAGGGCCAGCAAGGCCUUCUCUGCUGGCCUAAACAUCAUCAGAAUAUACAUUUCAUUUUGAUGUAUUUUUUCCACAAAUAUGUAUUAAAUUAUUCCCCAGUAGUCUAUCCUCUUCAUUCUCUUCCAGCCUCAGAUGGAGAUUUGGAGGUCUGGCCUUUAUGUUAGAGCUUUUAUCCAAUCAUAUUUCAG
rnacentral:lncRNA from 1 species